rnacentral:rRNA from 1 species
UACGAAGGGGGCUAGCGUUGCUCGGAAUCACUGGGCGUAAAGCGCACGUAGGCGGAUCUUUAAGUCGGUGGUGAAAUCCUGGAGCUCAACUCCAGAACUGCCUCCGAUACUGAGGGUCUUCGAGUCCGGGAGAGGUGAGUGGAACUGCGAGUGUAGAGGUGAAAUUCGUAGAUAUUCGCAAGAACACCAGUGGCGAAGGCGGCUCACUGGCCCGGUACUGACGCUGAGGUGCGAAAGCGUGGGGAGCAAACAGGG